UACGUAGGGUGCGAGCGUUAAUCGGAAUUACUGGGCGUAAAGCGUGCGCAGGCGGUGAGCUGUGUCCGAUGUGAAAGCCCCGGGCUUAACCUGGGAAUGGCAUUGGAAACUGGCUCGCUGGAGUGUGGCAGAGGGGGGUGGAAUUCCUGGUGUAGCGGUGAAAUGCGCAGAUAUCAGGAGGAACACCGGUGGCGAAGGCGGGUCUCUGGGCCGAUACUGACGCUGAGGAGCGAAAGCGUGGGGAGCAAACAGG
rnacentral:rRNA from 1 species